UACAGAGGGUGCGAACGUUGCUCGGAAUUACUGGGCGUAAAGGGCCAGUAGGCGGCCAACUAAGUCGGAUGUGAAAUCCCCAGGCUCAACUUGGGAACUGCAUCCGAUACUGGAUGGCUUGAAUUCGGGAGAGGGAUGCAGAAUUCCAGGUGUAGCGGUGAAAUGCGUAGAUAUCUGGAGGAAUACCGGUGGCGAAGGCGGCAUCCUGGACCGACAUUGACGCUGAACGGCGAAAGCUAGGGGAGCAAACGGG
rnacentral:rRNA from 1 species